rnacentral:rRNA from 1 species
GACGAACGCUGGCGGCGUGCUUAACACAUGCAAGUCGAACGGUGAAGCGCCUUCCUUUUUGGUGGGUGUGGAUGAGUGGCGAACGGGUGAGUAACACGUGAGUAACCUGCCCCCUUCUUCUGGAUAACCGCAUGAAAGUGUGGCUAAUACGGGAUAUUCUGGGUCUGUCGCAUGAUGGGUCUGGGAAAGAUAUUGUUUCGGUGGGGGAUGGGCUCGCGGCCUAUCAGCUUGUUGGUGGGGUGAUGGCCUACCAAGGCGGUGACGGGUAGCCGGCCUGAGAGGGUGGACGGUCACAAUGGGACUGAGACACGGCCCAGACUACUACGGGAGGCAGCAGGGGGGAAUAUUGCACAAUGGGCGCAAGCCUGAUGCAGCGACGCCGCGUGAGGGAUGGAGGCCUGCGGGUUGUGAACCUCUUUCGCCAGUGAAGCAGGCCUGCCUCGUUUGUGGGUGGGUUGACGGUAGCUGGAUAAGAAGCGCCGGCUAACUACGUG